GGAAGGUGCAAGCGUUAAUCGGAAUCACUGGGGCGUAAAGCGCGCGUAGGCGGUUAGAUAAGUCGGGUGUGAAAGCCCCGGGCUCAACCUGGGGAACUGCAUUCGAUACUGUCUGACUAGAGUGUGAUAGAGGGAGGCGGAAUUCCGCAUGUAGCGGUGAAAUGCGUAGAGAUGCGGAGGAACACCAAUGGCGAAGGCAGCCUUCUGGAUCAACACUGACGCUGAGGUGCGAUAGCGUGGGGAGCAAACAGGAUUAGAUACCCUGGUAGUCCACGCUGUAAACGAUGUCAACUAGCCGUUGGGAGCAAUUUGGCUCUUGGUGGCGCAGCUAACGCGAUAAGUUGACCGCCUGGGGAGUACGGUCGCAAGAUUA
rnacentral:rRNA from 1 species